rnacentral:rRNA from 1 species
UAGGGAAUAUUGGGCAAUGGGCGAGAGCCUGACCCAGCCAUGCCGCGUGCCGGAUGAAGGCCUUCUGGGUUGUAAACGGCUUUUUUCAGGGAAGAAAACGGUCUUGCGAGACACACUGACGGUACCUGAAGAAUAAGCACCGGCUAACUCCGUGCCAGCAGCCGCGGUAAUACGGAGGGUGCAAGCGUUGUCCGGAUUUAUUGGGUUUAAAGGGUGCGUAGGCGGCCCGUUAAGUCCGGGGUGAAAGCCCGUUGCUCAACAACGGAACUGCCCUGGAUACUGGCGGGCUUGAGUCCAGACGAGGUUGGCGGAAUGGAUGCUGUAGCGGUGAAAUGCAUAGAUAGCAUCCAGAACCCCGAUUGCGAAGGCAGCUGACUAGGCUGGUACUGACGCUGAGGCA